rnacentral:lncRNA from 1 species
GUUUGGAAAUCACUGAAAAAGCAGAAAUAUAUAGAGAGUUUAUCAUGUUUAUGAACAUAUCCCCUCAAUCAUGUCAAUACAACACUAAAAUGACUUAACACUAGAAUUUUUCCAAAGUUUACAUAUUACAAUUUAACAAUAUACAUACACUUUAAUGGUACAGAAUGCCAAUCUGCAAGCGAUUUUGUUCUUCAUCUUUCACUAGUUGUCUUGACUUUAUAAUUCUUUUUCAUCUUUAAUUUUUAUCGAACUCAGCACGUAGACACACUGCUUGAUAGCGAUAAAGUAAUCUU